rnacentral:rRNA from 1 species
UACAGAGGUGCCAAGCGUUAGGCGGAAUCACUGGGCUUAAAGCGCGUGUAGGUGGGUCGUAAGUGUCCGCGUGAAAUCCCACGGCUCAACCGUGGAACUGCCGGGCAUACUGGCGAUCUUGAGGCAUUCAGGGGCGAGCGGAACAAAUGGUGGAGCGGUGAAAUGCGUAGAUAUCAUUUUGGAACGCCCAAUGGUGGAAAAACAGCUCGCUGGGAAUGAUCUGACACUGAGACGCGAAAGCCAGGGGAGCGAACGGG